rnacentral:lncRNA from 10 species
CAGGAGGUGGGGUGAAAUUAAUCAAAGCAAAGAAAUGCACAAGUGAAAUCCGUGUUUGUGGCCCAAGUUAGCAGGGCCCUGCCCCACCCCAGUGGACAUCUGCAGGGCCCUCCCUGUCCUCUUCCAGGGCCUGUGCCCUGAGGGAGAUACACCCCAACCCCCAUCCUAGCCAUGCCAACCUCUACUACCCUCUCCCCAGCUCAUCCUGUUUGGGCUCAGUAAUCAGCUGGCUGUGACAUUCCGGGAAGAGAACACCAUCGCCUUCCGACACCUCUUCCUGCUGGGCUACUCGGACGGAGCGGAUGACACCUUCGCAGCCUACACGCGGGAGCAGCUGUACCAGGCCAUCUUCCAUGCUGUGGACCAGUACCUGGCGUUGCCUGACGUGUCACUGGGCCGGUAUGCGUAUGUCCGUGGUGGGGGUGACCCUUGGACCAAUGGCUCAGGGCUUGCUCUCUGCCAGCGGUACUACCACCGAGGCCACGUGGACCCGGCCAACGACACAUUUGACAUUGAUCCGAUGGUGGUUACUGGUGAGUGGGCAGGACGAGGCUUCACUGUUGGGAGCCUGAGCUGCUGGGAUUAAAAUCAACAGCUGUGGCUGGGCACGGUGGCUCACGCCUAUAAUACCAGCACUUUGGGAGGCUGAGGAGGAAGGAUUGCUUGAGGCCAGAAGUUUGAGACCAGCCUGGGCCACGUAGGAAGACCUUGUCUCUACGCACAAACAAAUUAGCUGGGCGUGGUGGCGUGCCCCUGUGGUCCCAGCUACUCA